UUUUUUCCAAGAAAGAGGCAGUUGAGGGAGGAGUGAAAGGCUAGCCAGUUUUGGGGUGAAUUUGAGAGAGAUUCAACCAUUGUUUUCGUCUUCUGUUUCCUCCAUUUGUAGCUUGCAAAUGCCACCACCAAGUGUCUCCUUUGUGGGGGUAAAAUUGAGGCAACCAAGGUGCUAAGGGGUCUAGCUGGUUGAUUGGUGUUCAUUUGGUUGUUUUCUGAAACCGGAAUCAAAGAUUUCUUGAGGGAUUGCCUUGAGAUUUCCACCAAAUGUCAACGACUUUUCCAAUUUGUGAAAUUCAACCAGGAACUCUACAAUGCUCUAGAAUAUGUUUCGUGGGAGUGCAUUAAUUCUGACACCUAUGGUGGCCUGCACAGCCUGUGGUGGCAGCUGCAUGGGAGGGAAAACACAGAAAGAUAAUGGCAUCUACCAAAGCUUACUCUUUGAUAAAGUAAUAACUACAAAUCUUCAUGUUCAACGUCUUCUGGUUUAAAUCUUCUGAACAAAAUAAAGGGCCAUCAGCAGCGAGGCAGAAUACCAUCAGCAAUGAAGCAGUGAAUCGCUAGUUAAGUUGCUUCCUUCAUGUGCUCAAUCUUCAAAUAAUAAAUGUGUUCAUUCGCACCUGAAUAUCUCCCCAUGGUGGAGACAGAUUCAUGCUCAAAUUAUCAUUGGGGGCAUCAUGAGAAGAGGAGUGGCCAAGAUAUGGAAAGAGGUAUGCAAUCUCAAUGUGGCUCCGCAGGUGCAAACAGUAAGUAUUGGAGUUGAAUUCUCAAUGAUUUCCACAGGGUAAUUCUUCCUUGGCAUCAACCUAUUGUACUUACAGGCUGGGAUUUGGUCCUUAGUAAGAAUUGAGCAAACGUAUUCACUAACAAAAAGACAUUUCACGCCUCUUGCGAUCUGCUGUUAGUAUAUAUCUCUCUGCAGAAGGGACCAAGGGCUUCUGGUUAGCUGAUGAGGGUCUCGGAGUUUUUGAAUAAAUUCAUCGGCAUUACCAUGAUCUCCUUUUUAUUGGGUAGCAUGUGAAGAUCAACAUGGUUUCCAAAAAAGCUGAAUAGACUAGAUUACCUGAAAUAAGCACACAAUCAUGUGCAAAACGGCUUAGAAAUGCCGGUGGUACCAUGACGUUAAAUUCUCACCCAGAAGACUACGACAUACACUACCCCAAGAAGGAUUGACAACAACGGUUUGCCUAUUGGCUUGGGCUUCUUAUGCAAGGGCGCGGCGAGAAAUUUAUUACAAUGAGGGAUAGCUCAAGCCCACUUAGUAUAAGUUAUUCCAAAUUAAAAAUGAAACUAGUUAGAACCUAUUAUCAAUUUAAAAAAAUAAAGAUGAACUACAUUUAUUCAUCCAUUAAAGCCCACACACAAGGAAAAAGGUAUAGAAUUUUGUGGUUCUUGAGUAACAUGUAAUAAAACUAAAUACACAGGGCUCCAUUGAUUGCUCGAGAUUUGAAGCAUAUAUUAAGGAUAACGUACUAAGCAUCUAUAUUUUUAAGUAGAUUAAAUACAUAUUAUAGAAUUUCAGUUUCAACUCAUUGAUCAUCAAUCCAAUCCUUAUUCUUUAGUAUCCCGUUGUAAUAUAUAGUAGUGCUUUUGAAUCAAAUUCCC
rnacentral:lncRNA from 1 species